rnacentral:rRNA from 1 species
UAUGGCGACCGGCGCACGGUGAGUAACACGUAUCCAACCUGCCGAUGACUCGGGGAUAGCCUUUCGAAAGAAAGAUUAAUACCCGAUGGCAUAGUUCUUCCGCAUGGUAGAACUAUUAAAGAAUUUCGGUCAUCGAUGGGGAUGCGUUCCAUUAGGUUGUUGGCGGGGUAACGGCCCACCAAGCCCUCGAUGGAUAGGGGUUCUGAGAGGAAGGUCCCCCACAUUGGAACUGAGACACGGUCCAA